AAAUUGAAGAGUUUGAUCAUGGCUCAGAUUGAACGCUGGCGGCAGGCCUAACACAUGCAAGUCGAGCGGUAGCACAGAGAGCUUGCUCUCGGGUGACGAGCGGCGGACGGGUGAGUAAUGUCUGGGAAACUGCCUGAUGGAGGGGGAUAACUACUGGAAACGGUAGCUAAUACCGCAUAACGUCGCAAGACCAAAGUGGGGGACCUUCGGGCCUCAUGCCAUCAGAUGUGCCCAGAUGGGAUUAGCUAGUAGGUGGGGUAACGGCUCACCUAGGCGACGAUCCCUAGCUGGUCUGAGAGGAUGACCAGCCACACUGGAACUGAGACACGGUCCAGACUCCUACGGGAGGCAGCAGUGGGGAAUAUUGCACAAUGGGCGCAAGCCUGAUGCAGCCAUGCCGCGUGUGUGAAGAAGGCCUUCGGGUUGUAAAGCACUUUCAGCGGGGAGGAAGGCGAUAAGGUUAAUAACCUUGUCGAUUGACGUUACCCGCAGAAGAAGCACCGGCUAACUCCGUGCCAGCAGCCGCGGUAAUACGGAGGGUGCAAGCGUUAAUCGGAAUUACUGGGCGUAAAGCGCACGCAGGCGGUCUGUCAAGUCGGAUGUGAAAUCCCCGGGCUCAACCUGGGAACUGCAUUCGAAACUGGCAGGCUAGAGUCUUGUAGAGGGGGGUAGAAUUCCAGGUGUAGCGGUGAAAUGCGUAGAGAUCUGGAGGAAUACCGGUGGCGAAGGCGGCCCCCUGGACAAAGACUGACGCUCAGGUGCGAAAGCGUGGGGAGCAAACAGGAUUAGAUACCCUGGUAGUCCACGCCGUAAACGAUGUCGAUUUGGAGGUUGUGCCCUUGAGGCGUGGCUUCCGGAGCUAACGCGUUAAAUCGACCGCCUGGGGAGUACGGCCGCAAGGUUAAAACUCAAAUGAAUUGACGGGGGCCCGCACAAGCGGUGGAGCAUGUGGUUUAAUUCGAUGCAACGCGAAGAACCUUACCUGGUCUUGACAUCCACAGAACUUUCCAGAGAUGGAUUGGUGCCUUCGGGAACUGUGAGACAGGUGCUGCAUGGCUGUCGUCAGCUCGUGUUGUGAAAUGUUGGGUUAAGUCCCGCAACGAGCGCAACCCUUAUCCUUUGUUGCCAGCGGUUAGGCCGGGAACUCAAAGGAGACUGCCAGUGAUAAACUGGAGGAAGGUGGGGAUGACGUCAAGUCAUCAUGGCCCUUACGACCAGGGCUACACACGUGCUACAAUGGCAUAUACAAAGAGAAGCGACCUCGCGAGAGCAAGCGGACCUCAUAAAGUAUGUCGUAGUCCGGAUUGGAGUCUGCAACUCGACUCCAUGAAGUCGGAAUCGCUAGUAAUCGUAGAUCAGAAUGCUACGGUGAAUACGUUCCCGGGCCUUGUACACACCGCCCGUCACACCAUGGGAGUGGGUUGCAAAAGAAGUAGGUAGCUUAACCUUCGGGAGGGCGCUUACCACUUUGUGAUUCAUGACUGGGGUGAAGUCGUAACAAGGUAACCGUAGGGGAACCUGCGGUUGG
rnacentral:rRNA from 1 species